AGCGAACGCUGGCGGCAUGCUUAACACAUGCAAGUCGCACGGGCGGGGGCGACUCCGUCAGUGGCGGACGGGUGAGUAACGCGUAGGAAUCUAUCCUUGAAUGGGGGACAACCGUGGGAAACUACGGCUAAUACCGCAUGAUGCCUGAGGGCCAAAGACGAAAGUCGUUUGAGGAGGAGCCUGCGUCUGAUUAGGUAGUUGGUGGGGUAAAGGCCUACCCAAGCCUACGAUCAGUAGCUGGUCCGAGAGGAUGAUCAGCCACAUUGGGACUGAGACACGGCCCAAACUCCUACGGGAGGCAGCAGUGGGGAAUAUUGGACAAUGGGCGCGAGCCUGAUCCAGCAAUGCCGCGUGGGUGAAGAAGGUCUUCGGAUUGUAAAGCCCUUUUGGCGGGGACGAUGAUGACGGUACCCGCAGAAUAAGCACCGGCUAACUACGUG
rnacentral:rRNA from 1 species